rnacentral:rRNA from 1 species
AUUGAACGCUGGCGGCAGGCCUAACACAUGCAAGUCGAGCGAGCGGCGGACGGGUGAGUAAUGUAUGGGGAUCUGCCUGAUGGAGGGGGAUAACUAGUGGAAACGGUAGCUAAUACCGCAUACCAUCAGAUGAACCGAUAUGGGAUUAGCGUGUUGGUGGGGUAACGGCUCACCAAGGCGACGAUCCCUAGCUGGUCUGAGAGGCUGAUCGGCCACACUGGGACUGAGACACGGCCCAGACUCCUACGGGAGGCAGCAGUUGGGAAUAUUGCGCAAGGGAGGAAAGCCUGACGCAGCCAUGCCGCGUGAAUGAAGAAGGCUUUCGGGUUGUAAAGUUCUUUCGGUAGCGAGGCGUUAUCUAAAGAAGAAGCACCGGCUAACUCCGUGCCAGCAGCCGCGGUAAUUC